rnacentral:rRNA from 1 species
CACGUAGGCGGCUUUGUAAGUUAGAGGUGAAAGCCCGGGGCUCAACUCCGGAAUUGCCUUUAAGACUGCAUCGCUUGAACAUCGGAGAGGUAAGUGGAAUUCCGAGUGUAGAGGUGAAAUUCGUAGAUAUUCGGAAGAACACCAGUGGCGAAGGCGACUUACUGGACGAUUGUUGACGCUGAGGUGCGAAAGCGUGGGGAGCAAACA